rnacentral:rRNA from 1 species
UACGGAGGGUGCAAGCGUUAUCCGGAUUUACUGGGUUUAAAGGGUGUGUAGGCGGGUCUUUUAAGUCAGUGGUGAAAUCUCCGAGCUCAACUUGGAAACUGCCAUUGAUACUAUUGAUCUUGAAUUCUGUUGAGGUGGGCGGAAUAUGUCAUGUAGCGGUGAAAUGCAUAGAUAUGACAUAGAACACCAAUUGCGAAGGCAGCUCACUAAGCAGAUAUUGACGCUAAGGCACGAAAGCGUGGGGAGCGAACAGG